rnacentral:misc_RNA from 1 species
CGACGUCAGUACGCUGCGGAAAGUCUGACGAUCCUGAUCGUAAAGGGGCCGCGCGCGUGCGAUAUCGUUCGACAUGCCGAUGAUAUCGCCGCGAAUGAGCUGCGCGUGCUCGUAGACGUAGGCGUUGGCCACGAUCAGCGAGUUCUCGAUCACCGCACGGGUGCGCACCGAGAACAGCCGGUCGAGGCCGCGGUCGAUGGUGACAUUGGCCACGAUCGAAACCAGCACUGCAGGCAAAACUGCGAUCACCGAAAACAGACUGACGAUCUGGACAUGCAGGCGCGCGGC